UACGAAGGGGGCUAGCGUUGUUCGGAAUGACUGGGCGUAAAGCGCGCGUAGGCGGAUUGGCAAGUUGGGGGUGAAAUCCCGGGGCUCAACCUCGGAAUGGCCUUCAAGACUGCUGGUCUUGAGUUCGAGAGAGGUGAGUGGAAUUCCGAGUGUAGAGGUGAAAUUCGUAGAUAUUCGGAAGAACACCAGUGGCGAAGGCGGCUCACUGGACUGGUAUUGACGCUGAGGUGCGAAAGCGUGGGGAGCAAACAGG
rnacentral:rRNA from 1 species